rnacentral:lncRNA from 1 species
UCUCCCCUGACACAGCUCCAUGCCAUUCCCUCAGGCCCUGUUGCUGUCACAGAGAGCAGAGCUCAGAGCUCCCUGUGAGGAGCUGCAGCCACCAUCAGGUCUCCCCUGAGCUCCUUUGCUCUGGGCUGAACAAACCCAGAGGCUGUAGCUGUUCCUUAUACAUCUGACCCUCAAGACCCUUCAUCACUUCAAACAUCAGGAUUUUGUGAAACCAGGAAUACAUAUUCAUGCUUUUUUUUUUUUUUUUUUUUUUUUUUUUUUUUUUUUUUUUUUUUUUCCUUCUUCUUUCUAAAAAAGACAGAAACCUGAAAGACUCCAGACGGGUAGACUGACCUCCCUAUAAGCUCUCUGAGCAGCAGUGGCAGGUCUGGGACUCAGUUCUCCUAUGUCACAGUAGCUUUUAAUCAUGUGAUUCAUCUUUCUGCAGGGAGAGCUGAUGUAAUCCUUACCCCUCUUAUGAAGCCUUGGCCUCUCUUCUCUUGGACAGAAUUGUUCUUUGGAAAGUAGAAUAGAUGAUGAAAGCUCAGUGGGGGAACACGAGGCAGUUACAAAGAGGCUGAAGUAAAAGAAAGUCAAGAAUAUGAACAAUUCGGAGCUGGUGCUUGUGAUGCCUGGAGAAAAGCACUUCAUGCAAAAGUUGCAGAGAACUUUUUGCUCUCCUCAUUAAUGUAUCGAAGAAGGAGAUUUUUACUCAAAGGAUGUGUACAAAGAAGUCAGGCUGCUUGUUCUGUGGAACCCAGAGUCAGAGGAACGGAUGAAGAAGAAAGAAGUGUGACCCUGUGUGUGUGUUUGGCUUCAUCUCCCCAUGGAUCAGGAGUUCAUUUAGAAAGUCAAGGCUCUGACAGCUUCAGUGGCUGCCACGGGUUCCUCUGGCUACCCCUGUCUGGGAUUUUGAGGCUUGAGUUUCUGCAAUUUAUAUUCACCACCAUAAAGUCAUUUACCACAGGUUCCCAGUGGUCCCUGGGAUGUCUUCACAAAGCACUGUAUGCUCUUCCUUUCCAUGAAGCUGAAGAAUCAGUUAGGAUGGAAAAGACUCAAAAGAUCAUCUGCCCAUAACCAACCUAACACUACCAUUUUCACCACUAGACCAUGUCCCUAAAAGGAUUUUCAGCUCAAAAUCAAUGUCACAAAAUUUAAUGCAUGUUCUUAUGGAGGAGGAAGCUGAUUUUAUUAUACAUAAGCCUUCAGCAGAGUAAUUGUGCCCCUCAGGCACUCACAGUCUUAGCUGUUAUAAUGUAUGUGUUCAGGUGGUCUGGCCAAAGUACAUGUGAAAUUGUAGGAUGAGGGAUUUUGCACCUCUUGGUUGUCUGUUGUCUGCUUACAACAAAACAAGUUAUGGACAAACCUUGUAUAUGCCAUAGGAAUCAUCAUCUGCAAUGAGGUAAUUCCUUGGCUUGUUUUUUGCUUACCUGUCAUAAGUCUUGGGUCAGGUUGCUGUCUCUAUUGACUUUUCCCUCAUUGGAAAUAUAUAUGCUUGAGACACAUAUCGGUGUUUUGUUUUGUUGUUUUUGUUGCUCCAAGACUAAAAAAAGAAUAUUAAAGAGUUAUACAUGAUAUGUUGCAUCCGUCUUGCCAUCUUGCUGCAGUGAAGAUUACAGAGUCUUCUGCUCAAGGGUAGUCUGGGCUGUAGGAUAUUGAGAGCACUGAUCUGGCAGAAACAACAUGCAUAAUAACUGUAAUGCAAUGUAUUGCUACUAAUUUCUGCACUGAUUUAUGAGCACUGUCACAGCUCUUCACGGAUAGCCUGUAAGCCUGAGAGGCGUCUCUGAGGUGAGAUGCUGCUAGUAUGAAAGAAGAAAAUAAAUCUCUGCUGCACUCUCUGGUUGCA